UGGGACUGAGACACGGCUCAGACUCCUACGGGAGGCAGCAGUGGGGAAUAUUGGACAAUGGGCGGAAGCCUGAUCCAGCAACGCCGCGUGAGGGAUGACGGCCUUCGGGUUGUAAACCUCUUUCAGCAGGGACGAAGCGCAAGUGACGGUACCUGCAGAAGAAGCACCGGCCAACUACGUGCCAGCAGCCGCGGUAAUACGUAGGGUGCGAGCGUUGUCCGG
rnacentral:rRNA from 1 species